UAAAUAUAUUUUAAAUAAAAGUAGAUUUAAAUUCAUAGAUGUAAAAUUUAAAUAUAAAUUUAAAAUAUUAUAUAAUUGAGUACAUACUCUGUACACCUAAGUCCAUUUCUCUCAUUUCUGUGAACCGGUCUCUUAAUUCUUGAGGAAGGUGCUCGAUCACUGAAACGCAAAAGAAGAAGGUCAACAUAACCAAACAAACUCAGAAUUAAAAGAAUCAAAUAUAGAAGAAUAAAUAAUAUUUAUCUAUUUAUUCUAAUCAUUAUAAUAUUAACAUUAUAAUCAUAAAAAAUAUUACAAAUUACAACUUAACUCCAAAAUAUAUUGUGAAUCAUCAGCUUGCAGUGAAUACUUUUAUAUUGAAAAAAAAGGUGCAUUGAACUUCUUCUUAGUUAAAAUGAUACGACGAAGUCCAACAAGAAUCGACUUACGAUUAGAUGAUCUGCAAGAAUAUGAAGCAAUGAGGAAAGCUCUUGAAGCUAAGAAAGAAUCAGAAAGACCGCCAACAUUUAAUCCUCCUUCGUGGGGUGGUAAAGUACCGCAAAGCGAAAUUCAAGAACGUAUCGGUUAUAUGCCACAACAAAAUCAACCUACGCAUUCUCGACCAAAUAUAUAGUUUUUUACGUAAUAUAUAUAUAUAUAUAUAUAUAUCUAUACAUGUUCUAAAUUGCAUUAUUUUCUAUUGUUAUUUUAUUUAUAUGUUCGUUGUAACAUUAUUAUAUAAUCAAUUGUAAAUUAAGAUUAAAUAAAAUAAAUACAUUUAAAUUUA